GAGAGAGAGAGAGAGAGAGAGAGAGUUAUGGAUCACGAAGACCACAAGUAAAGACCCCCAGACUCACACACAGCCUAAGGAGUUUGUCUGUGGGAGGAAGAAGUAUGUGAGAAAAACCACGAAACGAUUGGGAAAGGGAAGAGAAGGGAAGCGGAAGGAGAGGGGGAUAAAUAAAGACACUAAACAGGAAGCAAAAGACAAGAAAACAAAAUGAUAGAAUAUGAAACAGAGACAAAACACACAAACACAAACAAAACAUUAAAAAAAAAACGUACUAAAAUCAAUCUAACAAUCAAAACCUACAUAGAAAAACUUCUCUAUGAAAUCCUAUAUAUAAUUUAUGUGGGAACGCCUGGGAGGGACGGAAGGGAGACUGAAGGGAGGAAGUAAUGGGGAAUUAAAUCACGGAGGGAGAGAACAGGUAGCGAAGAGGAGGAGAGGAGGGAGGAGGAAAUCAAACUUCUAAAGGAGGGAAUGGUUAGAGGGAGGGAAAAAAAGUAAGAAACUAAGGAAGGGAAUGGAUAGGACAGGAAAGAAAAGAUGGAGGUGAAAACAUAACUACUGAAGGAAGGAAUGAUUAGAAAAAGGAAAAGAGGGAGUGAAAGAAUGAAUGUACUAAAGAAAAGGAGAGAAAAAACUAAACUACAGAAGGAGGAAACGAUUAGAAAAGGAAGAAAAGAGAGUGAAAGAAUGAAGGGAAGGGAAGACGGAAAGGAAAACUAAACUACUGAAGGAAGGAAACAGUAAGAAAAGGAAGAGAAGAGAGUGAAAGAAUGAAGGAAAGAAGAAAAGGAAAACUAAACAACAGAACGAGGCAAUAGUUAGGGAAGGAAGGGAAGAAGUGAAGAACGAAAGAAGCAGAGAGAGAGAGAGAGAGAGAGAGAGAGAGAGAGAGAGAGAGAGAGAGAGAGAGAGAGAGAGAGAGAGAGAGAGAGAGAGAGAGAGAGAGAGA